rnacentral:rRNA from 1 species
AGAUUGAACGCUGGCGGCAGGCCUAACACAUGCAAGUCGAGCGGUAGAGAGGUGCUUGCAUCUCUUGAGAGCGGCGGACGGGUGAGUAAUGCCUAGGAAUCUGCCUAGUGGUGGGGGAUAACGUUCGGAAACGGACGCUAAUACCGCAUACGUCCUACGGGAGAAAGCGGGGGACCUUCGGGCCUCGCGCCAUUAGAUGAGCCUAGGUCGGAUUAGCUAGUUGGUGAGGUAAUGGCUCACCAAGGCGACGAUCCGUAACUGGUCUGAGAGGAUGAUCAGUCACACUGGAACUGAGACACGGUCCAGACUCCUACGGGAGGCAGCAAGUGGGGAAUAUU